AGCAGUCGCCGCGGGAAUACGUAGGGUGCAAGCGUUAAUCGGAAUUACUGGGCGUAAAGGGCGCGUAGGUGGUUGUGUAAGUGAGAUGUGAAAUCCCCGGGCUCAACCUGGGAACUGCGUCUUAUACUGCAUAGCUUGAGUACAAUAGAGGGUAGUGGAAUUUCCGGAGUAGCGGUGAAAUGCGUAGAUAUCGGAAGGAACACCAGUGGCGAAGGCGGCUACCUGGAUUGAUACUGACACUGAGGCGCGAGAGCGUGGGGAGCAAACAGGAUUAGAUACCCCCGUAGUCCCUGUCUCUUAUAC
rnacentral:rRNA from 1 species